rnacentral:rRNA from 1 species
GACGAACGCUGGCGGCGUGCCUAAUACAUGCAAGUUGAGCGCUGAAGGUUGGUACUUGUACCAACUGGAUGAGCAGCGAACGGGUGAGUAACGCGUGGGGAAUCUGCCUUUGAGCGGGGGACAACAUUUGGAAACGAAUGCUAAUACCGCAUAAAAACUUUAAACACAAGUUUUAAGUUUGAAAGAUGCAAUUGCAUCACUCAAAGAUGAUCCCGCGUUGUAUUAGCUAGUUGGUGGGGUAAAGGCUCACCAAGGCGAUGAUACAUAGCCGACCUGAGAGGGUGAUCGGCCACAUUGGGACUGAGACACGGCCCAAACUCCUACGGGAGGAAGCAGUAGGGAAGCUUCGGCAAUGGACGAAAGUCUGACCGAGCAACGCCGCGUGAGUGAAGAAGGGUUUCGGAUCGUAAAACUCUGUUGGUAGAGAAGAACGUUGGUGAGAGUGGAAAGCUCAUCAAGUGACGGUAACUACCCAGAAAGGGACGGCUAACUACGUG